rnacentral:rRNA from 1 species
AACCAGUACCGUGAGGGAAAGGCGAAAAGAACCCCGGCGAGGGGAGUGAAAAAGAACCUGAAACCGUGUACGUACAAGCAGUGGGAGCACGCUUAGGCGUGUGACUGCGUACCUUUUGUAUAAUGGGUCAGCGACUUAUAUUCUGUAGCAAGGUUAACCGAAUAGGGGAGCCGAAGGGAAACCGAGUCUUAACUGGGCGUUAAGUUGCAGGGUAUAGACCCGAAACCCGGUGAUCUAGCCAUGGGCAGGUUGAAGGUUGGGUAACACUAACUGGAGGACCGAACCGACUAAUGUUGAAAAAUUAGCGGAUGACUUGUGGCUGGGGGUGAAAGGCCAAUCAAACCGGGAGAUAGCUGGUUCUCCCCGAAAGCUAUUUAGGUAGCGCCUCGUGAAUUCAUCUCCGGGGGUAGAGCACUGUUUCGGCAAGGGGGUCAUCCCGACUUACCAACCCGAUGCAAACUGCGAAUACCGGAGAAUGUUAUCACGGGAGACACACGGCGGGUGCUAACGUCCGUCGUGAAGAGGGAAACAACCCAGACCGCCAGCUAAGGUCCCAAAGUCAUGGUUAAGUGGGAAACGAUGUGGGAAGGCCCAGACAGCCAGGAUGUUGGCUUAGAAGCAGCCAUCAUUUAAAGAAAGCGUAAUAGCUCACUGGUCGAGUCGGCCUGCGCGGAAGAUGUAACGGGGCUAAACCAUGCACCGAAGCUGCGGCAGCGACGCUGAUGCGUUGUUGGGUAGGGGAGCGUUCUGUAAGCCUGUGAAGGUGUGCUGUGAGGUAUGCUGGAGGUAUCAGAAGUGCGAAUGCUGACAUAAGUAACGAUAAAGCGGGUGAAAAGCCCGCUCGCCGGAAGACCAAGGGUUCCUGUCCAACGUUAAUCGGGGCAGGGUGAGUCGACCCCUAAGGCGAGGCCGAAAGGCGUAGUCGAUGGGAAACAGGUUAAUAUUCCUGUACUUGGUGUUACUGCGAAGGGGGGACGGAGAAGGCUAUGUUGGCCGGGCGACGGUUGUCCCGGUUUAAGCGUGUAGGCUGGUUUUCCAGGCAAAUCCGGAAAACUAAGGCUGAGGCGUGAUGACGAGGCACUACGGUGCUGAAGCAACAAAUGCCCUGCUUCCAGGAAAAGCCUCUAAGCAUCAGGUAACAUCAAAUCGUACCCCAAACCGACACAGGUGGUCAGGUAGAGAAUACCAAGGCGCUUGAGAGAACUCGGGUGAAGGAACUAGGCAAAAUGGUGCCGUAACUUCGGGAGAAGGCACGCUGAUAUGUAGGUGAAGUCCCUCGCGGAUGGAGCUGAAAUCAGUCGAAGAUACCAGCUGGCUGCAACUGUUUAUUAAAAACACAGCACUGUGCAAACACGAAAGUGGACGUAUACGGUGUGACGCCUGCCCGGUGCCGGAAGGUUAAUUGAUGGGGUCAGCGCAAGCGAAGCUCUUGAUCGAAGCCCCGGUAAACGGCGGCCGUAACUAUAACGGUCCUAAGGUAGCGAAAUUCCUUGUCGGGUAAGUUCCGACCUGCACGAAUGGCGUAAUGAUGGCCAGGCUGUCUCCACCCGAGACUCAGUGAAAUUGAACUCGCUGUGAAGAUGCAGUGUACCCGCGGCAAGACGGAAAGACCCCGUGAACCUUUACUAUAGCUUGACACUGAACAUUGAGCCUUGAUGUGUAGGAUAGGUGGGAGGCUUUGAAGUGUGGACGCCAGUCUGCAUGGAGCCGACCUUGAAAUACCACCCUUUAAUGUUUGAUGUUCUAACGUUGACCCGUAAUCCGGGUUGCGGACAGUGUCUGGUGGGUAGUUUGACUGGGGCGGUCUCCUCCUAAAGAGUAACGGAGGAGCACGAAGGUUGGCUAAUCCUGGUCGGACAUCAGGAGGUUAGUGCAAUGGCAUAAGCCAGCUUGACUGCGAGCGUGACGGCGCGAGCAGGUGCGAAAGCAGGUCAUAGUGAUCCGGUGGUUCUGAAUGGAAGGGCCAUCGCUCAACGGAUAAAAGGUACUCCGGGGAUAACAGGCUGAUACCGCCCAAGAGUUCAUAUCGACGGCGGUGUUUGGCACCUCGAUGUCGGCUCAUCACAUCCUGGGGCUGAAGUAGGUCCCAAGGGUAUGGCUGUUCGCCAUUUAAAGUGGUACGCGAGCUGGGUUUAGAACGUCGUGAGACAGUUCGGUCCCUAUCUGCCGUGGGCGCUGGAGAACUGAGGGGGGCUGCUCCUAGUACGAGAGGACCGGAGUGGACGCAUCACUGGUGUUCGGGUUGUCAUGCCAAUGGCACUGCCCGGUAGCUAAAUGCGGAAGAGAUAAGUGCUGAAAGCAUCUAAGCACGAAACUUGCCCCGAGAUGAGUUCUCCCUGACUCCUUGAGAGUCCUGAAGGAACGUUGAAGACGACGACGUUGAUAGGCCGGGUGUGUAAGCGCAGCGAUGCGUUGAG